AGGUAAGCUACUAAGAGCGAAUGGUGGAUGCCUUGACUGGUAAAGGCGAUGAAGGACGUACUAGACUGCGAUAAGCUACGGGGAGCUGUCAAGAAGCUUUGAUCCGUAGAUUUCCGAAUGGGGCAACCCAAUGUAUAGAGAUAUACAUUACCUAUAUAGGAGCGAACGAGGGGAAUUGAAACAUCUUAGUACCCUCAGGAAAAGAAAUCAAUAGAGAUUGCGUCAGUAGCGGCGAGCGAAAGCGCAAGAGGGCAAACCCAGUGCUUGCACUGGGGGUUGUAGGACUGCAAUGUGCAAGAGCUGAGUUUAGCAGAACAUUCUGGAAAGUAUAGCCAUAGAGGGUGAUAGUCCCGUAUGCGAAAAACAAAGCUUAGCUAGCAGUAUCCUGAGUAGGGCGGGACACGAGGAAUCCUGUCUGAAUCCGGGUCGACCACGAUCCAACCCUAAAUACUAAUACCAGAUCGAUAGUGCACAAGUACCGUGAGGGAAAGGUGAAAAGAACUGAGGUGAUCAGAGUGAAAUAGAACCUGAAACCAUUUGCUUACAAUCAUUCAGAGCACUAUGUAGCAAUACAGUGUGAUGGACUGCCUUUUGCAUAAUGAG
rnacentral:rRNA from 1 species